rnacentral:rRNA from 1 species
AACCGUGGGAAACUACGGCUAAUACCGCAUGAUGCCUGAGGGCCAAAGCGAAAGCGUUUGAGGAGGAGCCUGCGUCUGAUUAGGUAGUUGGUGGGGUAAAGGCCUCCCAAGCCUACGAUCAGUAGCUGGUCUGAGAGGAUGAUCAGCCACAUUGGGACUGAGACACGGCCCAAACUCCUACGGGAGGCAGCAGUGGGGAAUAUUGGACAAUGGGCGCAAGCCUGAUCCAGCAAUGCCGCGUGGGUGAAGAAGGUCUUCGGAUUGUAAAGCCCUUUUGCGGGACGAUGAUGACGUACCCGCAGAUAAGCUCCGGCUAACUUCGUG